rnacentral:rRNA from 2 species
AUGGGCGAAAGCCUGAUGCAGCCAUGCCGCGUGUGUGAAGAAGGCCUUCGGGUUGUAAAGCACUUUCAGCGAGGAGGAAAGGUUAGCGGUUAAUACCCGCUAGCUGUGACGUUACUCGCAGAAGAAGCACCGGCUAACUCCGUGCCAGCAGCCGCGGUAAUACGGAGGGUGCGAGCGUUAAUCGGAAUUACUGGGCGUAAAGCGCAUGCAGGCGGCCAAGUCAGUCAGAUGUGAAAGCCCCGGGCUUAACCUGGGAAUUGCAUUUGAUACUGCUUGGCUAGAGUCCUUGAGAGGGGGGUAGAAUUUCAGGUGUAGCGGUGAAAUGCGUAGAGAUCUGAAGGAAUACCAGUGGCGAAGGCGGCCCCCUGGCAAGAGACUGACGCUCAGAUGCGAAAGCGUGGGGAGCAAACAGGAUUAGAUACCCUGGUAGUCCACGCCGUAAACGAUGUCUAUUAGGAGUCUGUGGCCUUGAGCUGUGGGUUCCAAAGCUAACGCAUUAAAUAGACCGCCUGGGGAGUACGGCCGCA